UACAGAGGGGGCAAGCGUUAUUCGGAAUUAUUGGGCGUAAAGCGCGCGUAGGCGGCUUUUCAAGUCGAUUGUGAGAUCCCCGGGCUUAACCUGGGAACUGCAGUCGAGACUGUCUAGCUAGAGUAUGGGAGAGGGAAGUGGAAUUUCAGGUGUAGCGGUGAAAUGCGUAGAUAUCUGAAGGAACAUCAGUGGCGAAAGCGACUUCCUGGACCAAUACUGACGCUCAUGUGCGAAAGCGUGGGGAGCAAACAGG
rnacentral:rRNA from 1 species